GACGAACGCUGGCGGCAUGCUUAACACAUGCAAGUCGAACGGAAAGGCCUCUUUCGGGGGGUACUCGAGUGGCGAACGGGUGAGUAACACGUGAGUAACCUGCCCUUGACUUUGGGAUAACUUCAGGAAACUGGGGCUAAUACCGGAUAGGAGCUCCUGCUGCAUGGUGGGGGUUGGAAAGUUUCGGCGGUUGGGGAUGGACUCGCGGCUUAUCAGCUUGUUGGUGGGGUAGUGGCUUACCAAGGCUUUGACGGGUAGCCGGCCUGAGAGGGUGACCGGCCACAUUGGGACUGAGAUACGGCCCAGACUCCUACGGGAGGCAGCAGUGGGGAAUAUUGCACAAGGGGUGGAAGCCUGAUGCAGCAACGCCGUGUGCGGGAUGACGGCCUUCGGGUUGUAAACCGCUUUCGCUCAUGACGAAGCUUUGUGUGACGGUAGUGGGUAAAGAAGCACCGGCUAACUACGUG
rnacentral:rRNA from 1 species